rnacentral:rRNA from 1 species
GACGAACGCUGGCGGCGUGCUUAACACAUGCAAGUCGAACGGAAAGGCCCUGCUUUUGUGGGGUGCUCGAGUGGCGAACGGGUGAGUAACACGUGAGUAACCUGCCCUUGACUUUGGGAUAACUUCAGGAAACUGGGGCUAAUACCGGAUAGGAGCUCCUGCUGCAUGGUGGGGGUUGGAAAGUUUCGGCGGUUGGGGAUGGACUCGCGGCUUAUCAGCUUGUUGGUGGGGUAGUGGCUUACCAAGGCUUUGACGGGUAGCCGGCCUGAGAGGGUGACCGGCCACCUGGGGACUGAGAUACGGCCCAGACUCCUACGGGCGGCAGCAGUGGAGAAUAUUGCACAAUGGGCGGAAGCCUGAUGCAGCAACGCCGCGUGCGGGAUGACGGCCUUCGGGUUGUAAACCGCUUUCGCCUGUGACGAAGCGUGAGUGACGGUAAUGGGUAAAGAAGCACCGGCUAACUACGUG